GGGGUGUUUUGUCAGGCCGUGAGGUCUUGCUGGCCGCAUGGUGGAGUUUGCGGGAGGCUCGACUCUCUCUGAGGGUACGCUUUGGACCUCUCUGUCGAUCCCACCUUUUGCUUGUUUGGUCUGUUCUUUCUGUGGCGCUGACUCAGACCGGAACAAAGACCCAGUCUCACGCGGAGGAAAAAGACGGGGAGGCUAGCGGGCUGUGUGUGAUCGCACACCGAGUCCCCGGUGACCAGUGGGCGCCGAGUUUCUUCUUAGACGUCUUAACUGCAAGUGUCGCUUUCGCUUUGCUAUAAAAUGUGCCGAACGCACUUCUGUAGUAGAAAAAUGGCCAUGAGCUAAGUCCCUUUCCAGAGUGGCGUCAGACCAACUCCGCUACCCCUGACGGAGUUUGCGCCGCGGUGUUCCUCGGCUCGGGCUGUCUGUCCGGCUUUGCAUCGGAGGGUGGUGCUGCUUUCAUCGCCGCGCUGCUAGAGAGCAUCGCCACUUAGGCGCCUCGGAGCGUCGGCACGGGCGUAAAAAUAAUGCAGAAUACGAAGCAUAAUGAUCGUUUGUGCCGGCCGAGAAACAGCCCAGUAUAGCUUGGUCCGCCAAAAAUUGCCUGUGGGUCAAGAAUCUGGGAGAGGUCAUCUGGAUGAUACUGGCUUAAGGUCUCUCAUAAGGUUGCAGUUAAUCUAUCAGAGACACAGAGAGAGAAUGAGAGGCAGAGACACAGGCAGAGGUAGAAGCAGGCUCCAUGCAAAGAGCCCGACGUGGGACUCGAUCCAGAGUCUCCAGGAUCACGCCCUGGGCUGCAGGCGGCACUAAACCACUACACCACCGGGGCUGCCCGAAACAUUUGAUUUUUAAGAGCUCUUCGAAAGGAUCUGACUCAUAGAAAGAUACUAAUACUGGCAUCCUGCCAGUUGAUAGUAUUUUGCUUCUGUGAUAGGUAACCUAUACCCUCCCUUCAAUUAAUAGUUUAAAGCCAUGCUCCUCAAGUCUGGUGUCAACACUCUGAGCCAGAGAAACAUGGAAAAAGGGAAUUCAGUCUCAGCAUCUAUCAAGGUUUACAGUUAAUGGCAUAAGAAGAAAUCUAAGUUCUCCGGCACUGAAGAAGUAAAAAGAUAAGAAGGGCUGUUUGGCCAAGAUCUGGAGAAGAUGAUGGACAAGGAAAUAGCCAGACAUUGUUACCUGAAUAAUUUUACCUGAGGGGUAUUUGUGGAAUCUGAAGGAGGUGGCUAAGAUGCUGAAAGGUGCUUUUGACAGCCUCUCAGGGAAAGUGAUUAGAGUCAAGAGUUCGCCCAGAAGGACAGGCCUUACUUUGGGUUGGGAACCAAGAAGCCUUUACCAACCACUAAGCAUGAAUCAGAAGUAGAUUGGCCCUGGGACUACAGCUCAGCUUGAAGCAUCAUUCUUUUAUUGAAUGAAGGAAGUAACCAAAAUGGGCUAGCUUCUCCAAGUAUUUCACAGGUCUGGUCCCCUAAGACUUUUGAUAGAAGCAAACAAAUCUGCUGGCAAGGAAGAUAUUGUACUAAGUCUCAGAUUGUUUUUGCUAACAAUUUUACAUACAUAGUGUCUGACAUUCAAUCUCAAACAGCUAGGCAUAUGAGAAACAAAACAACAUAAGAAAGCCAGCAAAAAGAGAGGGGGGUGGGGGAGAGAAAUUCAGAGACAGAAUGGCUUCUAUGUGUUCUGGAUACUGAAGUUAUCAUGCAGAUAUUUUAUUUAUUCCAGUCAGGGUGAUAAAAGGCAAAAUUGAAAAUUUUGGCAGAAAUUUGGAAUCAAUGGUAAGAUAUAAAUAAAUAAAAUCUCUUUAAAAAUAAAAAAAUAAUGAAAAAUUAAAGAAAACCCCACUAAGACACACCUAUAAUCAAACUGCUAAAAAACAAACAAACAAACAAACAAAGGGAAAUCUUGAAAGCAGAGGGGGGAAAAGAUACAUUACCUCAAGAGAAAUAAUCAUAUAAAUAACAGCUAACUUCUCUUCAAAACCAAUCGAAAGCAGAAGACAAAAUGGUAAAUACAAGGUCAGAAGGUAAAUUUAGGUGUAGCUUUAUUAAAUACUCCCAAAUCCCCACAAGAGGACUGUACAGAUGUGAAGCCCUCUCAGCAACUUUAGAGUGUGUAUUUCCCCAAAGUUUGCUGCAAGAGUAUAUCGUUACACUGUUUGCAAUCUGAUGAGUGAGAAAGUAUUUUUCAAUGUGUUUUUAAUUUGACUUCUUUUGUUAUGAGCAAGGUCAAACAUCCUUUUACAUGUUUAAGGGUCAUUUUUUGUGUGGGCUGUUAUUUUUUUAAGUUUUAUUUUAAUUCCAGUGUAGCUAAUACCCAGUGUUAUAUUAGUUUCAGGUGUACAAUAUAGUGAUUCAACAGUUCCAUACAUUACUCAGUGCUCAUUAUGGUAAUGUAUUCUUUAAUCCUCACCACCUGUUUCACCCAUCCCCUCACCCACAUUCCCUCUGGUAACCAUCAGUUUGUUCUCUGUAGUUAAGUCUGUUUUUGGUUUUGUUUGUUUUUGGUUUGUCUCUUUUUUUCUUUGUUUGCUUUUGUUUCUUAAAUUCCAUGAGCGAAAUCAUAUAGUAUUUGUCUUUCUCUGACUGAUGUAUUUCACUUAGUAUAAUACUCUGGAUCCAACUAUGAUAUUGCAAAUGGCAAGAUGUCAUUCUUUUUUAUGGUUGAGUCAUAUUCCUGUAUACUCAUAUUUUCUUUAUUGAUCCACCUAUUGAUAGACACUUGGGCUACUUCCAUAAUUUGGCUAUCGUAAAUAAGGCUGCAAUAAACAUAAGGCUGCAUGGAUCUUUUCACAUUACUGUUUUAGUUUUCUUUGGGUAAAUACUCAGUAGUAGAAUUACUGGAUCAUAUGGUAAUUCUAAUUUUUAAUUUUUUGAGGAAUCCGCAUACUAUUUUCUACAGUGGCUGCACCAGUUUGCAUUCCCAUCAACAGUGCAUGUAGGUGCCUUUUUCUCCACAUCCUUGCCAACAUUUGUUUUUGCCUGUGUUUUUUAUUUUAGCCAUUUGACAGGUGUGAGGUGAUAUCCCACACUAAUUUUGAUUUUGAUUUCCCAGAUGAUGAGUGAUAUUGAGCACCUUUUCAUGUGUCUGUUAGCUAUGUCCUUUUUGGUUAAAUGUCUAUUCAUGUCUUCUACCAAUUUUUAAUUGGAUUGUUUUUCUUUUGGUGUUAAGCUGUAUAUGUUCUUUAUGUAUUUUGGAUUCUAACCCUUUAUUGGGUAUGUCAUUUGCAAAUAUCUUAUAUCUAGUAGGUUAUCUAUAGUGUUGUUGAUUAUUUCCUUUAUUACAUAGAAGCUUUUAAUUUUCAUGUAGUCCCAAUAGUUUAUUUUUGCUCUUGUUUUUCUUGCCUCAAGAAACAUAUCUAGGAAAGAUAUUGCUACAGCCAAUAUCAGAGAAAUUACUGCCUGUGCUCUUUUCUAGGAUUUUUAUGGUUUUAAGUCUCACAUUUAUAUUCUUAAUCCAUUUUGAGUUUAUUUUUAAUUUUUUUUUAUUUUUAUUUAUUUAUGAUAGUCACAGAGAGAGAGAGAGAGAGAGAGAGAGAGAGGCAGAGACAUAGGCAGAGGGAGAAGCAGGCUCCAUGCACCGGGAGCCUGAUGUGGGAUUCGAUCCCGGGUCUCCAGGAUCGCGCCCUGGGCCAAAGGCAGGCGCCAAACUGUUGCGCCACCCAGGGAUCCCUUGAGUUUAUUUUUAUGUAUGAUGUAAAAAAAAAAAUAGUCCUGCUUCAUUCUCUUGAAUGUAGCUGUCCAGUUUUCCCAAUACCAUUUGUUGAAGAAACUGUCUUUUUUCCCAUUUCAUAUUCUGGCCUCCUUUGUUAAAUAUUAAUUGACUAUUAAAGUGUGGGUUCAUUGAAAGAACUCAAAUACAAAUGCUAACCUUACACAGAAAGGAGCUAGAGAAAAAAAACAGCAGAUUGACCCCACGCCCAGCAGAAGAAGAGAGUUAAUUAAAACUCGAGCAGAACUCAACGAAAUCGAGACCAGAAGAACUGUGGAACAGAUCAACAGAACCAGGAGUUGGUUCUUUGAAAGAAUUAAUAAGAUAGAUAAACCAUUAGCCAACCUUAUUAAAAAGAAGAGAGAGGAGACUCAAAUUAAUAAAAUCAUGAAUGAGAAAGGAGAGAUCACUACCAACACCAAGGAAAUACAAACGAUUUU
rnacentral:lncRNA from 1 species